GUGGUCUUCGCAGCUGUGGUCGUGCAUACACGCCAUUUUCCCUUCGAAUUAAGUGAUCGCUCGCGGAAUUCGCUUCUGGGUCUUCCUCUCCUUCGAAUUUAGCGAUAGCCCGCAAGAGGUUGCUUCGUCCACGGAGGGGAGACGCGCCCUGAUUCCGAGCGUGCGUUCGUGGGUCGUCCGCUAAAAGCUGAGGUUCCGUCCACGGCUCGCCACCGAUCCGCCGCGCCGGCUGGGCCUUUUGGGCUCGCAGCGACUUUCGCGUUCUUUUUCGAACAGUGUAAGUUAGGCAUUUUCAAUGGGAUAACGACGGCGAGGGUUUGGACAAUUUGGGUUGAUCCAUUUAUAUAUAGUCUUAAUAACUAGGGAUGUGCAAAAGAAUCGGGAUCCGUUCGGACCAUCCGGAGCCGGAUCGGAACCACUCGGAACCGGUGAUUUUUGAGAGAACGAGUCUGAUUCUCGAUUCCAAUUUAUGAGAAUCAGUGGAUACCGGUCUGGUUUCCGGUUCCAUGGGUUGAUCUGUCCACUCGCCCACUCAAAUCAGACCGAUUACAUUAAAAUAAUAUAUUAAUUUUUGCGAUUAAAAAAAUUAAAAUUACUAAAUAAUAAACUCAAAUCAAAUAACUAAAAACAUUAAGUCAAGAUCGCAAAGAAGCAAGGUUGGCCUAGAAGCUAAAACGUCCAAAGCCGUCCAAAGUAGGGCUGGCCAGCCCAGCUGGGUAAUCUCCAGUCAAACCAAAUGGAAAGGUCAAGAAGUUAAAAUGUCCAAAAUGCACCUUAAGUCCUUGACAAAACGCCAAGUAGUGAGUGGGCAAAAAGCAAGCAAGCGAAGAAGCAGGGUGCAGGAGGAGGAGAAGAAGAAUAGGUCAAGCAAAGAAUCAGCAAUUUCGAUUGAAAACCAAAGUUGUUUCGCGUCAAGAUUGGACCGAGAAACCCAAGAACCCCAUCAAGCUAGGGUUCACGAGGAAACCCUCAAUCGCAGCAGGUCCAUCUAUCUCCUUCUCUAUUCAGCCCUAUGGAAAAUCGUCGUCACCCUCGACAAUAGUAGGUCCGUCCAUCCGUCCCUUUCUCUAUCUCUUUAUUCGGCCCUCCGAUGUCGAUUUUCCGGCACCGUCACCCUCGACAGCAUGUUAGCAACAGAUGGGACAAUGAGUGCUCAUCGUUUGAGUGGAUGCAUCUCGAUCCUGAUGAUUCCGGGCAUUCGGGGGGUUUUUUAUGCGAGGAAGAUGAUAGAGCGUGAAUAGAUUGAUUGCAAUUUGAUUUUUGUCAUCUUGUGGGGUCGAGCUGUGUUUGUUAUUGUGAGACUGAUUCCAUGGAUCCACCCGGAACCAGACCAGACCAGCGGUUCAGUUCCCAAGUGGAUCAAUGCAACUAAUGGGUGAAUCCUGAUUUCGAUUUUUGGAACCGGUCCUUGGCGGGCGGUUCUCGAUUCUAGGUCGGGAACCGCCUGCUCAGAUCAUGCACACCUAUACUAAUAACAUUGUUUUCCAAUUUUAAAGUUCCAAAACUUGCCACUAUUUUUAAUGUUAGCUAUCCUACUAAUUUCGUCCAUUUUUCUUAUAUGAAAAAUUUCAAUGACCUCUUUUUUUUUAAUUAAUUUUUAUUUUAUUUUUUGAACUAAGAGCGUUGAUGUAGUGCUAAAUAACCAUCCCAUUAAAGGAAAAUUAAACAUUCCAAAAAGAAAAUUGCCAAUACGCAAAUAGAAUGACCGAAAGGCAAUGAUUAGAACACGAGCAUCUUUUGUUGUCACGAUGGUUAGAGACCUUCGCCAGGUUAUUGAUUAGGUGUUGACACCUAAUUUAUACUUUCAAGCACAUAAAAAAAAAAGGAAAAGAAAAAAUUUGAUUGAAAAAAUAUAUAUGUUAAAAAAAUUUAAAAAGAAGCCGCACACUACCGCCCCUCUUCCUCUUUUCUUUUUUCUUCUUUUCCCCACUUGGGCUUGGGCCCUACCUUCCUCUUUCCCUUUUUCUUUUUUUUCCUUCACGCAGCCCAGCCCCCUUCACCCUUUCGGCCCGACCCGCACCUCUAUCAUCUCUCUCGGCCGUUGGUUGCACGGGGAAUCCACGAAGCAAAAGCAGAGCCGCUUGGAGCAGAAACGAGCGCCAACGGGGGGCAGCAUGAUCGCAUGGCAGGCAAGCGGCGCGAUCCUAGGGUCAGAGUCGGUUGGCAGAGGCCACUGGUUGGCCAGCCGAGGGCACGCGGGCGAGCGAAGUGGGGAAAAGAGAAAGAAAAGACCAGAGAGAGAAAAAGGGAGAAGGGGGUGCGACAGAGGGAGAGGGAGGAGAGAUUGAGAUGGUUGCUGGAGGUCAGCCAAGGUGUAGGAGCCCCCAGGAUGCCUCACCACCGUCAGAGAGCCGCCCGUUCGUCGUUGUUCACCGCUGUCUUCCCCGAAAUCCAGGUUGGCCUCUUAUCAAACACUUGGCGUGCAAUUUUUGAAAUUGAGCUGGCCGGAGUUUGUUUCGCCCGUUUUGAGUGAGCUCCAGCCCCAUUGUCCAAUCCUAUUACUUCCCUUGCAUGUUGGUAGGUUUCCUUAGAUCUCCAGGUCGGCCAAGCCGGAGGCUCUUGGUCUCGUCCAUGCCCAUCACUUGUUCGCUAUAUUGCUCGAAUGGGUCCUCUCCCCCCGAAGCUCCCCCGCGUGGAGCCCUAGGACCCCCUAGCUGCCAGAAGGACGUCGUUGUAGCUAGGGAAGCUAUGCCGUUCCCCCCACCUAGCCACCGCGGCGCCGUCGCCGGCGUGCGCAUUCACGGCACCCCUGGUCGCGACUGGGCAGUGGCAACCAAAGGGAUGCCAGGCGAGUGGGCUAGAUCACAAAUUUGGCCCACUCGACUCCUAUUCUCACUUGGGCACGGCUCUCAGGCCCAAGUUGGGCCUAAACCAGUGGAACCAGACCUGGUCGAGCCGGACCGGUCGAGCCGGACCGGUCAAGUCGAACCUGGUCGAGCCAGAUUCGGUCAAGCCGGACUUGACCGGGUCGAAUCGAGUCAGACUCGACCAGACCCAACCCAGUUUGGGCAAAAAAUAAUAAUUAUUAUUUAAAAAAAAUCAUUUAAAAAAUUAAAAAUAAUUAAAAUAAAUUAGUUAAUUAAUAUAUAUUUUUAAAAAAUUAAAAAUUAAAAAUUUCGAAAAUCCAAAAAGUGUAGGGUUUGGUUAGAAAUAGUUAUAUUUUGCAUUCUUAGGGUAAUUAGACUUCUAUUUGCUCGUAUUUUGAUUAUAUCGUAUGUUUAAUUUGCAUAUCUAAUUAUGUUAAUUGCAUAUGUUUAAUUUUACUGCAAUUAGGAUUUUGGUAGUGAUGAUUGUUACUUCAAUGAUUGUGUAUCCGCAUGAUCACAUUACAUGUUAGUGGAUAGUUAUAAAAUCAAUCAAAACUGUCUGCCAAAAAAAUCAUUUUGUUAAAAUGAACAAGUUUAGGUACCGAAAGGGCACUAAUUGGUCAAUUAGUGUAAUUAAGUCAUUGACCCUAGAUUCUCUGAUUGCGUAGGAAGUGAGGUACACUCCCAUACUAUCUUGAUUUCUAACCGACCCCAAUAGGCUAGUGCGACUUCUUUUAUACAAAAUUCCUAAAAAUAUUUCAAUGUCACGCGGGGUAUGAGCUUAGGAGUGCCCAUGCCUAAUCAUGGGCCUUAUGCCCAUCCUUUAAGCAAUACCCAUAAACCUGUUCUCUUCCCUCAGAGGUAGGUCACGACGCUAGGGUUGUCGCCCUCAUCACAAGCAAACGCUUGGUGGCCAUGGCUCCCCCAUCGCUACUAGGCAAAGGUUGUAUAGCCCUUGCAACUGUCAAGCUUGGGACCUCGCUCAAUCAUGGCUAGGGCCCUUGUAGCCAUCACUUAGCCAGGGCAGCUCGUGCGGAGGGCAAUAAAGGAGACGAUGCUGCCAUCUUUUGUUGUACCUCCGUGCCUACCCAAUCCCUCUCUCCUUUCUUUAUUAAUUUCCUCUUUAUUUUUUAUUUUCAGUUUUUGAAUUUAAUGGAAAACGACAUCAUUUUUUUGUUAACAAACAUCGCUUUGUACUUUAACAACCUUUACUAGUAAACAACAACAAGCGCACAAAAGAAUAACGAAAAGAGUGAGUUCGAAUUUUCCAUCCACUAAAAGCUAACAGGAAAAUUAAUGGGGAGGAUGGCAACUAAUUUUAUAACUUAAAUACAUGAAAUUCAUAUAAGUUUUGAGGACUCUCGUUACCAUUGCUACUAUUUCCAUGAGCUGGAAAACAAAUUAUAUACCUGUUUUUGGGAGCAGAAAAACAAAAUUUGUUCAGAAAAUGAUAUUAGUGGCCAGAAUAAAUAAGACAAUAAGAAAAAGGAAAUGCCCGGGAGCAUUGAUCAAUAUCGCAAAGCGGACGAGAAAGUCAAAAGCAGAAAUACCAUUUGAGGAAAAAUAAAAUAUUCACGAUCAACUGUGAGGAAAGGCCCCUAAAGCUUCUAAUCCAUGUGAAAUAAAUUAUACAAUUUCGAGCAAAAUUCCUGUCUUGCCCCUUCCGACAUAAAAAUUUACAUAACCCAUACCUUGCCAUCCGCCACGUGGAAUGCACUUGUCUCGUGAAACAGCAAUAUAAGAGGGCAAGAUCGUCAAUUUCAAAAACGUGCACCAUUAGAAUUCUCAUCCGUGGCGCUCGAAAGGGGCGCGUGUACACAGUACGUAAAGGAUAAAUGCUUCAUUCGUUUUGGGAAAUGAUUAUUCAUUUCUUAUAUUCCUAAAGAGAAAUGAGUAGGGAACGGUGCUGUUAUUUCAGAAAAUGAAAGGUGCAAUGUCACGACAAGUAUCAAACAUAAAAAAAUGGAAGACUCGUCCGUGGAAAAAAAUUUAAGGUAAAUAUCUAGAGCAUAUCUAAGCAGGCUCAAAAGUUUUAAAUUACAAUAGUUAAGAUAGCAAAUAUUAUUUUCUAGUUAGAGAAAAGAUUUAGGGGAUAUCAUUCCCAAAUAAAAGAAACUUAAUAACACAAAAAGAAACUUUAUAUGAAAUUCGAUUGAAAAUCCUUUCUUUUUAUUUUAACUUUAGUUUUGACUCAUGUGAUCCUAAAAUUGAUCUUGUUAUGUUUUAGGUUCUUAUGUAUCUUCAUCUACAGGUUAAGAAUCAAUGGGUAAUUUUUUGUCUACUAAUUUAUUAUUAAUGAUUUCUUUUUAGUUAGUGAUUACGUUUUUCUACUUGUGAUUUGUGGUUAUCUAUAUUUCAGUAUUUAAUUUGUUUUUUUUUGGUAAAGAGUAUUUAAUUUGUUUUUCUAUCCUUCAUAUUUUAAAAAUUCCACUUAAUGAGAUUUGUGAGAGUUUCCUUUUUAAAUUAGUGCUUGUUGGGCCUUUUUAAAUCCUCUAAUGUAAUCAUAAAUUAAGCCGAGAAAAUAUAAAGCAAUGGGAAGUAAAAAAAAAAAUGAAACUGGGGGAACCUAUCUACCAAUUUCCUCCAUAAACAUGAGCGGCUAAAAUUCGACGGUUCCUACCGUCACAAAAGCCCACGGUUAGCUAGCUGGGCUCAUUUCUAAAGCAAAUAUUUUAGGACGUGGUCCGAUGGAUCCUCCGAUCAAUGCUACCUAUGCGGCAUCAUCUAGCAAAUACAAAAUUCUAGGUGUUUUGAGUAAAUAUAUAUUGAAACGCUUUUUGUCGGUCGAGAGCCGAUGGUAACAUUGGAGAAGCAUAGGAUUACACGCAAUAAUCUACAUCGUCCAAGGUCUAGUACAACCGACACAAAGCCAAAGAGCCAACUCCAAAACAGAACAUAACUAAAAGACGAGCCAGAGAACGAGAGAGUAGCGAUACAAGACUGUCCAUUCAGUAAGACUUGAGAAAUCGCACUGAUAGUGUACAUAUAAUCGGAUCAGCAUGGCUCUUAUUCCUAAUGCAUAAUGAGCACAUGCAGGGACACAUCAUCUACGGCACACUCAGCUCUCGGUCGGAGGCUUGUGCGGCGGCUUCUCUCCCUUCCCCUUCUUUGGCUCCUCCCCUUUCUUCGGUGGCUCGUUCUCAGGGCCUUCCACCUCCUCUACGAGAAUGUGCCCCUCGUGCGGUGGCUUGCCUCCCUUCCCCUUCUUUGGCGGCUUAGUGUCCUCUUCCACCUCUUCUGCGAGAAUGUGCCCCUCAUGCGGUGGCUUGCCUCCCUUCCCUUUCUUCGGCGGCUUCACGUCCUCUUCCACCUCCUCUGCGAGAAUGUGCCCCUCAUGCGGUGGUUUGCCUCCCUUCCCUUUCUUCGGCGGCUUCACAUCCUCUUCCACCUUCUCUACGAGAAUGUGCCCCUCGUGCGGUGGCUUGCCUCCCUUCCCCUUCUUUGGCGGCUUAGUGUCCUCUUCCACCUCUUCUGCGAGAAUGUGCCCCUCGUGCGGUGGCUUGUCUCCCUUCCCUUUCUUCGGCGGCUUCGCGUCCUCUUCCACCUCCUCUGCGAGAAUAUGCCCCUCGUGCGGUGGCUUGCCUCCCUUCCCCUUCUUCGGCAGCUUUGCGUCCUCUUCCACCUCCUCUGCGAGAAUGUGCCCCUCGUGCGGUGGCUUGCCCCCCUUUUUCUUUGGCGGCUUCGCGUCCUCUUCCACCUCCUCUGCAAGAAUGUGCCCCUCGUGCGGUGGCUUGCCUCCCUUCCCCUUCUUCGGCGGCUUUGCGUCCUCUUCCACUUCCUCGGCAAGCAUGUGGCCAGGGUGGUGGGGCGGUGUCUUGCCGGGGAAUGGCUUCUUGUGGGAGUCCUCCUGUUCGGCCUCUUCAACGAGGAUGUGCUCAGGAGGGUGGUGCGGGGGCUUGGGUUUGGGGAAGGGCUUUUGUGAGUCGUCAACUUGGACGUUCUCGAGGAGGCGGCGACCCCCAACAGGGGGGUGCUUGUGGGGAGGUUUGUCCCCUUUCGGUGGCUUGGGAUCGUGGCCAUCGCAGAAGACGGUGGCGGCAAAAAGCGCCGCUCCUAGGAGCAACACUAGCAAGUACUUAGAAGACAUCGUUUGCUUCAUUUUUGCUAGAAGAGGAUGUAUGAGCUGAUGGUGUUGGAGUUAGAAGCGAGGGAGUGUCCCGAUUUAUAGUGGGUUUCGAACUUAUGUCGUCGUCAGCAAGCAUGUCACCCGGUCCCUCGGAUUUUGCCUCUCGCCUUCGCUACGAAACAGCGCGUCUCUUAGGUCUGUGUUCUAUUGGUUGCUCAAGAGUGUGAUAGAGUGGGGCCCGCCUUGGAUAUAGGGAUUUGCUUUGGGGUAGAAAAGUUUGACAAUCAGCCUAAUGCCUAAUUAACUAAUCUCUCUAAGUUUGACAAUCAGCCUAAUGCCUAAUUAACUAAUCUCUCUAAUUAACUGCUCCCACUGGAUAGAUUUGCACGGCCGGAUGGCAAUAUGGUGGGGUCCAUCUUCGGACGUUGGGAGUGCUUGAUCUCUCAAUUCCUUGUGACAAUUCUCUUUCUUGGAAAAGCAGGAGUAGAUUCACACGCAUAGCACAUUGGAGUAGUAGAGGCUCUUACCUUCAAUGUGAAAAGCUUUUACAAUGCAACCACAGAUUGAAUUUAUGUUGGAAGGCGGUGGUUGAUAUGGAACCAAAGACUUGUUUAUGAGCGAAUGGGCAUAAAACUACAUCUUAAAAGAGAACAAUACUAGAUAUAUUAAUACCGAUAAGAGGGGCAUGUCGGUGAUAAGUUUAAUAAUUCUUAAAUUGAAAUAAGGUAAUGUUAUUCCUUUCGUAUAAUCCACAACCAGCUAUUUGGACGCAUUUCUACAAGUCCUUUUAAAACUGGUUAAGUUCAUGGGAUUAGACCAAUAAUAAUAAUAAUAACAACAACAAUAAUAAUAAUAAUAAUAAUAAUGAUGAUGAUGAUGAUGAUGGUAAUAAUUGCUUAGCUAAUACAUGGGACUAGAUUAAAGCAAGAGUAACAAUGACAUACUUAUUCCUUAGUUUGUUUCACAUGAAGGGAUAACUAUUCUGGGACUAUGUUCGUUAAGGGAGAAUAGCUCAAAAAGUUAAAAACUUAUUACACUUUUGCCAAUUCAAUCAUAAAUCUUUUAAUUUUGCCAAUUGAGUUCUUAUUUGCAAUCCUUCUCACCUUUAGCUAAUUAAGUGCAUACGGCCAAUUUUGAUUGAAAUUUGUUAAUAUGGAUGACAGUUGUUCUACAUAACAUGGCCAACACUGAUAUAGAUAAAAUUUUUUUAUUUAUAAUUUUUGAAUUUUAUGAAUUUUUCUUUCUUUUUCUUUACUUUUUAUGGUUAUUUGGAUUAAGGGUAGGCAGCCCUUGUCUGCUUUGGGUGAGGGCCACGACGUCUUCACUGACUACUAGGCGAGGGUCACGAUGCCCUCAUGAGCCAAAUCGAGAGCGAGGGCCAUGAUUCCCUCACCUAGUGCCAUCUUAAAUAGCACUGAUACCAACAUACGACAUACGAUACAAUACGACAUGCCAACAUAUUGUUUCUAAAAAAUUAAAGAAUUUCAACAUGUUAAGACCCGUUGUAUAUUAAAGGUAUAUUUUUUAUAUACAUGAUUAUUUUAAUAAAAUUAAUUUUAUUCAAAUUCACAAAUAAACAAAUAAUAAAAAGAGAGCCUAGAAUGAAUUUACACUAAAAAUAUUAAUCUACCAUUUGUUAAUAUCAUCUAUUGUUUCAAUUUGACAAAUUCAACUCCAUUUUAAUAAUCUAUAAAACUUAGAAAAAAAACAAACAAUCCAUAUUCUGGACUUGUGUGUCAGAGUGUGUCAGAGUGUGUCAGAAGAGAAGAAAAAAAAACUUGGGCGGUGAAUUGUGUGUUACAAGAAGUGAGAGUUAAAAGAGAAGAGAAAACUAUGUUUUUCUUCUUUUCCUCUUCGUAUUUUUAAUAUUUUUUACAUAUUUGCAUUUUGAUCCCUCAUUUAUUGAAAAUUUUUAAAAUUGACCAAAUACGUGUCGAAAUCAUAUAACAAAAUCUUGAACUCGCAUAUUGGAAUUCCAAACUCACAUACCAAAUAGUGUCGGGAGAAUUGACUAGAUGUUGAAUUUUCCAACACUUAUUAAUAGAGUGUCGCAAAGUGUUGGACAUGUGUCAGAGUGUCUAACAUGACAAGAAUGCUCCCGGAUAGUAUUGGUGCUUCCCAAGUGUUAGCAAGGGUCAUUGGCUCUCAAUCUAGAAAAAAUAAUGUAAAAAAAAAAAAAGAGAAAGAAAAUAUCUAAAAAAGAUUAUUAAAAUAUUUUUAAAAAAUAUUUAUAUCAGUGUCGGUCAUGCCAUGUAGAGUAAUCGGUGUCCAUGUCAUCAAUUUUUUGCAAAAAUUGAUUGAAUGGAUUCAAUUAAUAAAAAGUGAAAGAGUUUAUGAUUCAUUUGAUAAAAUUGAAAGUGUAAAACUCAAAGUAAACCAUGUGAGCCUUUGAGAUUUUGACCAGCUGGGUCCAGGUUGAGAGAGAGAGAGAGAGAGAGAGAGAGAGAGAGAGAUUUUGCGGCGUCUUUUCUCGGUUUCCCAUUUGAGAUGGUGACCCUCUGAUUUGAUACGUACAUAAAACGUGGAGGCAUUAGAGACGAUGAGAAAAGGGCCCCCUAGUCAUUAUCGUCUUGUCUAUUCUUUUCCUUAUCUCGGCAAAGUAACAUUUUGCACGAAAACUAGGGGGGAGGAACAUUAAAACGUUGUUCUAACCAAAAAGAAAAAAAUUGAACCAUUGAAAAAUUGUUAGUAUGAGCUCAACCCGUCAAACAACAGAUGACUUAGGUCAGAAUUUAAAUAGUCUAAUCCAAAUAGACUCAUUUAAUUUAUUUUGACUCUUUUUUUUUUGGGUAAGAGAUAAGAAUAAUAUUGACUUUUGAACUAAGAGCUACACAAAAGUACAGCAAAAGGCUGGCUCCAAAAAACUUGCACUAAAAAAGACACAGGCCUCAAUCCGAGUGGAAGGGAGUCGGGGAAAGCUGCACCAGAAAAACAGAGAAGGUAGAAGCAGCAGCGGAAGCCAACACAGAGGCAAGGAAGAAAUAAACAAAAGAAGGGGCAACAACAAUGAAACCCCAAAACUACAGAAACAGACAGGGGAGCCAAACGGAGAAACCAAGGCCACACCCGGCAAAGCAAACCAAAAGACAGCUCAACUAAGAAGAACCAUCAACAGCAGCACGGACGAGCAGAGCAGAAAGCAGCAUCACCCAGUAAUCCAACAGCUCAGCCUCCGAGAAAACCAAAGGGACGAAAGCAGGGUCAAAAUAAACUUAAUAAUCCAUGAUGAAUCCAAUUCAUAUCGUUAAAAUGCUCUGAAAUAAGAAUGCGGAGUGAGUAAGUAUGAGAUUAGGUGAAAGCGAGAAAAAUUGAAGAGAGACAUAGAAAUAUGUUCGGUUUAAGUAAGUUGAAAAUCCAUAUAUGAUCUAUUUAAUACUUAUAUUAUGUUUAAACCCAUUUAUGACAUAUUUACUCAAUAUAACUAAUAUGUUUAUAACCCUUAUGGGUUAAUAAUUGAAUUUGUGACCCAUUUUGAUGGGUCUAGUACGAGCUUGUGACAUGGGACAGAAAUGUGGAUUUUCAUUAGAUGCAUAGAAUGUCCAAGCCUUUUGAUUUAUGUGAUCUCCAUCGAUGUGGGCUUUUCCCGUCAUGUCGAUCGAGGGGGGGGGGGGGGGCGAGCAUGGCUCUCGAGUCAUUACAUAUGUAUUGGGAGAAAAUCUUUGGGAGCUACCGCUCAAGUUUAAGUUAUAAGAAGAGUGGGCGAUCUACUGCGUAAAUACCUUGAAACUCCCUUUCUCGCAUAAGUUAGACUUUGAUCUAAGAUUUAUGAGGUGAGCAUUGAUUCAAUAUAUAAAUUUUCUAAUACUCCCCCUCACGCAUAAACAACUUAUUUUAGACUUAUGGUUAGCCAAUGGCUAUAAAAUCAAUUGGUUUGGUUCUUAAUUUCAAUUUUUUGUAACCAGUGCUCGAAGGGUUGGUUUCCAAUUGUAUGUCCAGAACCGAUCACCCAUAUUAACAUUAAAGUGUGUAACUGAGAUCAUAUCUAAUCUGAAAAUAAUCACUCUAAUAAAAUUGAAAAGUGCAAAUUGAAAAUAUAUAAAUGGCAUUGCCCCUCCCUUUACCCUCUUAAAUAUAUAUUGAAAAAGUUUAAGCCGUUGAUUCAGGCAUGAUUUAAUACCUCAAGCAUGGCAUUCACACUAAAUCUCACUAAACAACCUCAUAAAUCUCCGACACCCUAUGUUCUCUGUGUACAAGCCAUCUUCCUUUCCCUUCUCCCUAGAACAACCUGCAAUUACUUAAUUCGAACCUGAUGUCACCGCGCAUGUCAGCCACGACAACGACUUCACUGGAUCGUGCACCGGAAUGAAUAAAGAACCGAGACAGAGAGAGAGAAAGGGAGAAACAGGGUAGACCGGAUCGGGAGACUUCAGGAUUUGCGAUCGUGGAUUGCGAUUUUGGUGGCAAAAGCCAGUGUGAACCGUUGAAAAGGUGGACAUUUCGCCUCGUGGGGUUAGUUACAACAAAAUCCUCUUUUGACUCGAACAGCGCCGACAUCGGUUGGGAGGGGGAUCGUCGUGCGUAUUUCACCUGGAUCUCAGACUCGAUUCGGCUUUAGAAGACGUAGCAGACUCGACCAAGGUUCUUGACGUCUCAUCCCUCAUCCUUCCGUUUUCUGUGGUUUAUGUGAUUAUGACGGACUUCUAAAUUCUUCCACUGCGACUUAUUCUAAGGAAAAUUUACCUGUUAUCAUUAUGGAGUCCUUUCUUGUUUCUUGUAAUCAAUAUCUACAAAAGAUAGAUCCUAUUAUAUUUAUCAUGUACGAAAAAGUUUUUUUUGAAAUACUCAUUAAAAUUAUGAGUGAUUAGUUUUAGCGUGGGAUGGUUUCCACCCCCACAAUCAUGAAAUGACCCACCUGACUUUGAAACCAAAUCGAAUUGGAACCAUUUCUCAAAUGGAUCCGAGAAUUGAUGAGGAUUAUCUUUCUUUUCUUUUUCUCUACGCAGAGUCAUUCGUUCGCUUGCUCAUUAAAUAACAUACUCUCAUACUCUGUAACACCCCCAUAAAUAGUAACAGACCACUGCUCAAAUCUCUCACCCCUUGCUUCUUCACUGACCAACAACAACGCUCUCUAGGAUUCCCAAUCUCCAUUGGAAUUUCCGUUCUUAGAAAAUUAAAGGAAAAGGUACGUUACAAAACAAACACCAAAAGAGGGAGUCCCAUGACUGUGUGAGACUGAGAAUGAGAGUGAGAAGUGAGAGGCGUGAGACUGAGUGAGCAAGGGGAACUGAGGGAGGCAUAGCGUGAGACCGAGAGUGACAAGAAAGAGGAGUGAGAUUGAGUGAGAACCAAGAGGGAUGAGUAGGGAGAGAGAAUGUGAAAUUAGGGUUUUGAGAAUUGAUUUGUAAUAAUAAAAAUUAUAUGUAAAAAAUUAUCAGCCCAGUUUAGAUGGUUCGGGUGGAUCGGUCCACAUUGAAAUCAAGAACUAAAUCGAUAAUCACCAGUUCCAAAUCACUAAUUCAGUCUAGUUUUGUGCUUAUCCCUAUCAAAAAUAAUAUAUGAAGUAUUAAUUUUAGUCAAGCCAUGGUUUCGGUGACAAUUUAACAGUUGACUAAAUUGGAUGAAAUCACCAAAGUUUGUGUCAUGUUUCGUUUUCCUUUUUAAAAGAUGCCCACUGAGUUGCUUGGAGUGCCCAUCGAGAUGCUUACUAAAUUCUUUCUUUAUGUUUGACUUUUUAUUAUUUAGUUUAGGCCCUUGCGCAAACUUUAAGAAAAGACAAAUAUGGGCAUAAACUGUCAAAAAGAUGACUCAAUUAGAGGAACAGUCGUGGUCUUCGCAGCUGUGGUCGUGCAUACACGCCAUUUUCCCUUCGAAUUAAGCGAUCGCUCGCGGAAUUCGCUUCUGGGUCUUCCUCCCCUUCCAAUUUAGCGAUAGCCCGCAAGAGGUUUUGCUUCGUCCACGGAGGGGAGAUGCGGUCCGAUCCCGAGCGUGCGUUCGUGGGUCGUCCGCUAAAGCUGAGGUUCCGUCCACGGCUCGCCACUGAUCC
rnacentral:lncRNA from 1 species